rnacentral:rRNA from 1 species
UACGUAGGGGGGCAAGCGUUUGUCCGGAUUUAUUGGGCGUAAAGAGCGUGUAGGCGGCUAUGCAGGUCCGCUGUGAAAACUCGAGGCUCAACCUCGAGACGUCGGUGGAAACCGCAUGGCUAGAGUCCGGAAGAGGAGAGUGGAAUUCCCGGUGUAGCGGUGAAAUGCGCAGAUAUCGGGGAAGAACACCCGUGGCGAAGGCGGCUCUCUGGGACGGUACUGACGCUGAGAUGCGAAAGCGUGGGGAGCGAACAGG